UAUGUGAUCGUCUCUCGCAUAUCAAUAAGCGGAGGAAAAGAAACUAACAAGGAUUCCCCUAGUAACGGCGAGUGAAGCGGGAAGAGCUCAAAUUUGAAAUCUUAAAGGGUUUCCCUUUACGAAUUGUAGUCUAAAGAAGUGUUUUCUGUUGAGGUUUUGGUAAAAGUUCUUUGGAAUAGGACAUCAUAGAGGGUGAGAAUCCCGUAUUUGACCUUUACUUUCAACUUUGUGAUACACUUUCAAAGAGUCGGAUUGUUUGGGAAUGCAGUCCAAAAUGGGUGGUAAAUUUCAUCUAAAGCUAAAUAUUGGCGAAGAGACCGAUAGCGAACAAGUACCGUGAGGGAAAGAUGAAAAGAACUUUGAAAAGAGAGUUAAACAGUACGUGAAAUUGUCAAAAGGGAAGCGUUUGACACCAGUGUUGUUUUUCUGAAAAUCAAUUAAAGAACUGUUUAUGCUAAGUUGUUUAGACUUUAUCAGCUAACUGUUUAGUUUUGAGCUUUUCUUUAAUGCACUUUUCAGUUAACAAGUCAACAUCAAUUUCUUUUGCUGUAAAAAAGCUUGAGGAAGGUGGCUUGAGAUUCGUCUUAAGUGUUUAUAGCCUCUUGCCUAUGCAGUCGGAGAGAUUGAGGUCUGCAGCGUAGAUCCUUCGGGGCUAAAUGCAUUUGUGCUAAGUUAUAGCAUUUUAUAGACAACUUGUUGACUAUGAUUUGUCUUGUAGCUUACUCGCUUAUGUUAUUUUACCUACGCUUAGGAUGUUGAGUAGCGACAUACGCAC
rnacentral:rRNA from 1 species